AUGAAUAUCAUCGGAGACCCUAUUGCUAAAAUGGUCAAAAAUAUUAUUUAACCAUCGGUUGAAGGUUUACAAAAUAGAUUUGACAGCGAUUAUAUGCCAGACACAGAUGAUCUACAGUACAGCAAAGAAUUGGAAAAUGAAGACUGUUAUCAAGUUGAGAUGCUAGAAGAAGAAAAUUUAAAUGCAAUAACUUGGGCUGAAUGGACACCAGCUAAGCUGAGUUAUGAAAAAAGCAAUUGC